AUAACGGUCCUAAGGUAGCGAAAUUCCUUGUCAGGUAAGUUCUGACCCGCACGAAUGGCGUAACGACUUGAGAGCUGUCUCAACAACAUACCCGGCGAAAUUGAAGUACUGGUAAAGAUGCCAGUUACCCGUGAUAAGACGGAAAGACCCCAUGGAGCUUUACUGUAACUUGAUAUUGAAUUUUUGUAUUACAUGUACAGGAUAGGUGGGAGACAGAGAACUAAUGCCGCCAGGUGUUAGGGAGUCGAUGUUGGGAUACCACUCUUGUAAUAUGAAGGUUCUAACCUGCACCCGUGAAUCCGGGUGGGGGACACUGUCAGGUGGACAGUUUGACUGGGGCGGUCGCCUCCUAAAAGGUAACGGAGGCGUUCAAAGGUUGGUUCAGCACGGACGGAAAUCGUGCAACGAGUGCAAACGCAUAAACCAGCCUAACUGCGAGACCGACAAGUCGAGCAGUAACGAAAGUUGGAGUUAGUGAUCCGGCGGUAUGAGAGUGGAAUUGCCGUCGCUCAACGGAUAAAAGCUACCCUGGGGAUAACAGGCUGAUCUCCCCCAAGAGUCCACAUCGACGGGGAGGUUUGGCACCUCGAUGUCGGCUCAUCGCAUCCUGGAGCUGAAGUCGGUUCCAAGGGUUGGGCUGUUCGCCCAUUAAAGCGGUACGCGAGCUGGGUUCAGAACGUCGCGAGACAGUUCGGUCCCUAUCUAUCACGGGCGUAGGAAAUUUGAGGAGAGCUGACCUUAGUACGAGAGGACCGGGUUGGACGUACCGCUGGUGCACCUGUUGUUCUGCCAAGGGCAUAGCAGGGUAGCUAAGUACGGACGGGAUAAACGCUGAAGGCAUCUAAGCGUGAAGCCCCCUUCGAGAUAAGAUUUCCCAUAGCGUAGGCUAGUAAGGACCCAUGAAGACUACAUGGUUGAUAGGCCGGAGGUGGAAGUGCAGUAAUGUAUGUAGCUGACCGGUACUAAUAGUCCGAGGGCUUGACCAA
rnacentral:rRNA from 1 species